CGCACAGUGAACGCACUGGAGAAGUUUCAAGACAGACAGCCAAAAUUGACAUUUUUAUUCAGAAAAUAGCCGGUCCCGUCCUUUUGCUUCCUGUAAAAAGCAUGUUUGUGACACUGGAUAAGGAUAUGGAUACAUCAUCUAGCCUGCAUGUGGAGGGCCACAUAAGACUGCUGAGGUUGGCGUUCUGUCCGCGCCCAAGGCCCCUGCUGAACCAACCAGCCGUCACUCAGCUGCAGGUUUAACAACCUGAAACUCUGAUACCAAAACUGUCCUCAUACACACACACGCUGCCCCCCACAAACAAACACGCACAAACACACACCCUCCCGCCAACACACACAAAUACACACACAGAGAUACACCCCCCCCCCAGAUAACACACACACUGCCCCAACAAAAAAAAAACACACUCCCUCCCACACAACCACAAACUCACACACAUACAAUCACACACACACACACACAUACACCCCCCCGGCAAACAAAAAAACAAACACACACCCUCCAACACACACCUAACACACACCCUCUCACACAAACACUGCAUGACGCAAACAUGUGGAGAGACGUAGCGAGGAAGGUGUGAAAGACUCCCCAUUGUAGCAGGUGAAGCCCCUCAUCUUACCAGGUUGAGCGGGUGCUUCUGUUUCAUACCACUUGACCACCAUCAUCGCCUCAUCCCCAACACCACCACCAUCCAAACAUCCAUCAUCAUCACCCCCACCACCACCUGCUUCACCAGCACCUCCA
ensembl:lncRNA